rnacentral:rRNA from 1 species
UUAUUGGAGAGUUUGAUCCUGGCUCAGGAUGAACGCUGGCGGCGUGCCUAAUACAUGCAAGUCGAGCGAACCGAUUAAGAGCUUGCUCUUAAGAAGUUAGCGGCGGACGGGUGAGUAACACGUGGGUAACCUACCUAUAAGACUGGGAUAACUCCGGGAAACCGGGGCUAAUACCGGAUAACAUUUUGC